UAUUGGUCAUUUUCUCAAAGUUUAAAGGAAUUAGGGCUUUUUACACCCCGUCUUCAUUUGGUCGAUCAGUCAUAGGAAUGAAGAACACGAAUGACUCACGAAGCCAGAUGAACAAAGGCGUGAGAAGGAAGCACGAAGCGACGGCGCUGCAUCCGGGCCCUUGCUUGUCGCAGGUCAUGAAGAGGACCGAAGGAAGAAGAAGCUCGUAGGCGGCUAAUCCUGAUGUCUUGGUCGAUCGAUCGCGAAGAGGGAGGCGUCUCCGGGGUUCGACGAGGCCGACGGGGAGGAUGGGAGAAGCAACGAGGCUGCUGUUGCCUCGGUAGCUGCAGCGAGGAGCGAAACGGGAUGAGUGAUUCAUUGGUUUUGGAUCGAGGGUUCGGUGUGGCUAAGAGAUUGCGAAAGGAAGGAGGCCAGAGAAGGGUCCGACGAGCGGUACGCCGUCGCAGGUAGGGGAUUCGGUGGCGUUUGCUCGACAGAAGAAGAAGAGAUGUGCGAGAGGUGGGGCUGCUGUGUCGAUGAUUCACCGAAGCACCACCACAGCUGGUGGUUCAUGACAGAGGACGAAGAUACAGGCAGAAAAUCAAGGAAGAAAGGAAAGAAAAAAAAUAAUCUCCAGCUUUGUUUUAAUUAACAGCAAAGGAAAUGGGAAAAAGAUAAAUUCCAUUCUCUUGAUUUCACAGGGAAAGAAAGGGAAGAGGGGGAAAAGAGGUGAAGAAGAUGACGAAUGCAGGAGUGUUUAUGGAUUUUGAUGUUUCAUUUGACAACUUCAAUUGAGAAAGGAAACACAUUUACUUUGUGUGAUUUAAUAUUUCUUUUGUGUGUGAUUUAGUAUAAGCUGAAAGUUAGAAGCAACACAAUAAUUUAUUCUCUUUUAUGGUGUAUAAGCAAUCAAAGAUUUUGAAUAUUUUCUCAUCAUACUUCAUUUACUUUGAGUUCAAGAUAACAAGUUAUGUAUGUGUACUUUGGGUUAAUUUUGUAAGCAUUGAAUAAGUCAAAAAGUAUGUAUUUUUAUA